GCGUAUUGGAAAGCUUCGGCCGGAAGAUGCGUUAUCUAGUGGCGGACGGGUGAGUAACACGUGGGUAACCUGCCUUAUGGAGGGGGAUAACAGGGAGAAAUCACUGCUAAUACCGCAUAAGCACACAGUACCGCAUGGUACAGUGUGAAAAGAUUUAUCGCCAUAAGAUGGACCCGCGUCUGAUUAGCCAGUUGGCAGGGGUAAAAGCCUACCAAAGCAACGAUCAGUAGCCGAUCUGAGAGGAUGACCGGCCACAUUGGGACUGAGACACGGCCCAAACUCCUACGGGAGGCAGCAGUGGGGGAUAUUGCACAAUGGGGGAAACCCUGAUGCAGCGACGCCGCGUGAGUGAAGAAGUAUUUCGGUAUGUAAAGCUCUAUCAGCAGGGAAGAUAAUGACAGUACCUGACUAAGAAGCCCCGGCUAACUACGUGCCAGCAGCCGCGGUAAUACGUAGGGGGCAAGCGUUAUCCGGAUUUACUGGGUGUAAAGGGAGCGUAGACGGAGUGGCAAGUCUGAAGUGAAAACCCUGGGCUUAACCUGGGGACUGCUUUGGAAACUGUUAAUCUAGAGUGUUGGAGAGGUAAGUGGAAUCCCUGGUGUAGCGGUGAAAUGCGUAGAUAUCAGGAAGAACACCGGAGGCGAAGGCGGCUUACUGGACAAUAACUGACGUUGAGGCUCGAAAGCGUGGGGAUCAAACAGGAUUAGAUACCCUGGUAGUCCACGCUGUAAACGAUGAAUACUAGGUGUCGGGGAGCAAAGCUUCUCGGUGCC
rnacentral:rRNA from 1 species